CAGCAGCCACGGUAAUGCGGAGGGGGCUAGCGUUGUUCGGAUUCAUUGGGCGUAAAGGGUGUGUAGGAGGCCAGGUAAGUCAGGUGUGAGAUCUCAGAGCUUAACUCUGAAACUGCGCUUGAUACUGCUUGGCUAGAGGGUCGGAGGGGGUAACGGAAUUUAUGGUGUAGCAGUGAAAUGCGUAGAUAUCAUAAGGAACACCGGUGGCGAAGGCGGUUACCUGGAAGAUUCCUGACUCUGAAACACGAAAGCCAGGGGAGCAAACAGGAUUAGAUACCCGGGUAGUCCCUGUCUCUUAUAA
rnacentral:rRNA from 1 species